CAAGUACUCCCUCCUUCCGGAAUUACUUGUCAUCAAAAUGGAUGUGUCUAGAACUAAAAUACAUCUAGAUACAUCCAUUUCAAUGACAAGUAUUUUCGGACAGAGGGAGUACAAG
rfam:Triticum aestivum genome assembly, contig: Triticum_aestivum_CS42_TGACv1_scaffold_344307_4DL